UACGAGGGGUGCAAGCGUUAAUCGGAAUUACUGGGCGUAAAGGGUGCGUAGGCGGUUCGUUAAGUCUGUCGUGAAAUCCCCGGGCUCAACCUGGGAAUGGCGAUGGAUACUGGCGAGCUAGAGUGUGUCAGAGGAUGGUGGAAUUCCCGGUGUAGCGGUGAAAUGCGUAGAGAUCGGGAGGAACAUCAGUGGCGAAGGCGGCCAUCUGGGACAACACUGACGCUGAGGUGCGAAAGCGUGGGGAGCAAACAGG
rnacentral:rRNA from 1 species